GGGAGGGACUCUGGCUCAGUGGUAGAGCACCUGCCUGGCAUGCAGAAGAUCCCAAGUUCAAUUCCUGGCUUUUCCA